rnacentral:rRNA from 1 species
GGCUGCAACCCGCCUGCAUGAAGUUGGAAUUGCUAGUAAUCGCGGAUCAGCAUGCCGCGGUGAAUACGUUCCCGGGCCUUGUACACACCGCCCGUCACACCAUGGGAGCCGGUAAUACCCGAAGUCAGUAGCCUAACCGCAAGGAGGGCGCUGCCGAAGGUAGGAUUGGCGACUGGGGUGAAGUCGUAACAAGGUAAC